GAUAGAGAGCUGGCAGGCAGGGUGCUUGGUCGGAUGUAAGCCUGCUAGCUCGAGUUGCUGGACGGUUGUGGGUUAAUUUUCGAGAAGGCAUGCCUCUCGUGAUGUCCUGGUCGAGCAUCACGGCCACGUUGCGUAGGAUCUCGAACCUAGACAAGCGCAACGUGGUUACUGCCGGAUGUUGUCGUUCGAUAUGCGACGACGAAGACAUCAGGUAUCGACCUCAACCGAAAAAUUCCAAGCACCCGGACCCGACGAUGAAGAUCAAGACCCUGUCCCAAAGCACCAAAGUGCCAACGAUUUGGAUCAUGACUGCGAUCCCAAAAACCCAGGAGCCGACGAUUUGGAUCCUGACCCUGACCCAAAGCGACAAGGAGCCGACGAUUUGGAUCAACACCCCGAUCCCAAGCACCAAGGAGCCGACGAUUUGGAUCAAGUCCUACAUCCCAAGCACCAAGGUGCUUGGUUGAUUUGGAUCACGAUCCCGAUCCGGAGCUCCAGGGCGCCGAGGAUUUCGAUCAAGAUCCUGAUCUGAAGCACCAAGGAGCCGAGGAUAUGGAUCAAGACCCCGAUCUGAAGCGACAAGGAGGAAAGGAUUUAGAUCAAGACUCCGAUCACAAGCACCAAGGCGCCGAGGAAUUGGAUCAAAGAUCCCGAUCCCAAUCAACAAGUAGGCUAUGUUAUUUUCUGUUUUCCACACCGUUCAGGGCAUUUUGGUGGUUGUAUCGGCUUUUUGUUGCUUGCUUGGCGUUAGUGCCAAGGGAGUGGCUGGAAGCUAGGUCGUCCUCUGGGAUGCUUGUUGUAAAGGUGUAUGAGUUGUGUUUGGCUUGUUACGGGUGUUUGUUGGCUGCUUGUGCAGGAACUUUCAUGCGUUCAAGCCUCUUCAGUUGUGCUACAAGGCCUUGUUUGUCUUGUGCUGACGGUGGGUUUCCUGUGUUGCAUACCUAAUCAAGGGCAUCGUAUGGCUCGAUCGAAGUACAUAUUCGUAAUAUGCCGCUUGCGGCGUUGAACGAACCUUGAAGCGGUCUCUGUGGCCCAUGUUGUCUUUUGCUCACGCAUGGAUGGCAUGGCCCUCGGAGCGUCGCUUGGUCUCUUGGAUACGGAACCUGAUGAUGUGGGCGGUAGGGUCUUUGAUGAUUCUACCUUUGCCUUCCAUGAGCGUUCUCGCUUCUCUAAACGACCGUCUGUCAUGCGUCGGCAUGUCCGUGCAUGGUGGGCUUAGUCGAAGAGGAAUGCUAC
rnacentral:misc_RNA from 1 species